rnacentral:rRNA from 1 species
AUUGAACGCUGGCGGCAGGCCUAACACAUGCAAGUCGAGCGAGCGGCGGACGGGUGAGUGAUAUCUGGGAAACUGCCUGAUGUAGGGGGAUAACUACUGGAAACGGUAGCUCAUACCGCAUACCCUCGGAUGUGCCCAGAUGGGAUUAGCUAGUAGGUGGGGUAACGGCUCACCUCGGCGACGAUCCCUCGCUGGUCUGAGAGGAUGACCAGCAACACUGGAACUGAGACACGGUCCAGACUCCUACGGGAGGCAGCAGUGGGGAAUAUUGCACAAUGGGCGCAAGCCUGAUGCAGCCAUGCCGCGGGUAUGAAGAAGGCCUUCGGGUUGUAAAGUACUUUCAGCGGGGAGGCGUUACCCGCAGAAGAAGCACCGGCUAACUCCGUGCCAGCAGCCGCGGUAAUUC